UACGGAGGGUGCGAGCGUUGUCCGGAAUCACUGGGCGUAAAGGGCGCGUAGGUGGCGGGGUAAGCGUGCGGUGAAAGCUCGGGGCUCAACCCCGAGUCGGCCGUGCGAACUGCUCUCGCUGGAGCAUUGUAGAGGCGGGUGGAAUUCCGGGUGUAGCGGUGGAAUGCGUAGAGAUCCGGAAGAACACCGGUGGCGAAGGCGGCCCGCUGGGCAAUGGCUGACACUGAGGCGCGACAGCGUGGGGAGCAAACAGG
rnacentral:rRNA from 1 species